UGUCAUGGAGUUGCUCUCUUCA
rnacentral:miRNA from 1 species